rnacentral:rRNA from 1 species
UACGUAGGGGGCUAGCGUUGUCCGGAAUCAUUGGGCGUAAAGGGCGUGUAGGCGGUCCGGUAAGUCCGCUGUGAAAGUCGGGGGCUCAACCCUCGAAUGCCGGUGGAUACUGUCGGGCUAGAGUCCGGAAGAGGAGAGUGGAAUUCCUGGUGUAGCGGUGAAAUGCGCAGAUAUCAGGAAGAACACCCGUGGCGAAGGCGGCUCUCUGGGACGGUACUGACGCUGAGACGCGAAAGCGUGGGGAGCGAACAGG